AUUGAACGCUGGCGGCAGGCCUAACACAUGCAAGUCGAGCGGAUGAAGGGAGCUUGCUCCUGGAUUCAGCGGCGGACGGGUGAGUAAUGCCUAGGAAUCUGCCUGGUAGUGAGGGAUAACGUCCGGAAACGGGCGCUAAUACCGCAUACGUCCUGAGGUAGAAAGUGGGGGAUCUUCGGACCUCACGCUAUCAGAUGUGACUAGGUCGGAUUAGCUAGUUGGUGGGGUAAAGGCCUACCAAGGCGACGAUCCGUAACUGGUCUGAGAGGCUGAUCAGUCACACUGGAACUGAGACACGGUCCAGACUCCUACGGGAGGCAGCAGUGGGGAAUAUUGCACAAUGGGCGAAAGCCUGAUCCAGCCAUGCCGCGUGUGUGAAGAAGGUCUUCGGAUUGUAAAGCUCUUUAAGUUGGGAGGAAGGGCAGUAAGUUAAUACCUUGCUGUUUUGACGUUACCAACAGAAUAAGCACCGGCUAACUUCGUG
rnacentral:rRNA from 1 species